GUGAGGAAUAUUGGUCAAUGGACGGAAGUCUGAACCAGCCAUGCCGCGUGCAGGAAUAAGGUCCUAUGGAUUGUAAACUGCUUUUAUUCGGGAAUAAACCUCUUUACGUGUAGGGAGCUGAAGGUACCGAAGGAAUAAGCACCGACUAACUCCGUGCCAGCAGCCGCGGUAAUACGGAGGGUGCAAGCGUUAUCCGGAAUCAUUGGGGUUAAAGGGUCCGCAGGCGGGCUAUCAAGUCAGAGGUGAAAUCCCACAGCUUAACUGUGGAACUGCCUUUGAAACUGAUGGUCUUGAAUUAAGUGGGCGUUGGCGGAAUAUGACAUGUAGCGGUGAAAUGCAUAGAUAUGUCAUGGAACACCGAAAGCGAAGGCAGCUAACGAUACUUAUAUUGACGCUCAUGGACGAAAGCGUGGGUAGCGAACAGGAUUAGAAACCCCUGUAGUCC
rnacentral:rRNA from 1 species